rnacentral:lncRNA from 1 species
CUCUGUAAAGCUCUUAAUCAGAUCUCACGACCGAUUAGCCCAAAUGUAUUUUCAGUUUCCAGAGUUAAUCAUCCUUGAGGACCAGGAGUUAACAAUGAGAAUGGGGGACGUGUCCUUGUUCCUGUCUUUUGGGGUAGACUUAUUUUGCAAAGCAAAAGUGGUUUCCCAGAAGAUGCAAUCUAGAAUUUUAAUGUUUACUUUCUAAAUGCUGGUGGGAUUGCUAGCUUCUUCUCAUCUCUGCGCCCUUAUCCUACAGCCCAAAGGGUAGAACCACAGGUAAAAUAGUGGGGAUGAAAAAGAGAAUGUCAGAGCGCCCCCACUGGCUGCCUGAGGGAAAGCACCCAAGGGGAUGUUUCCAGAAACAACCCAAGUAACAAGACUCCAGAAGAAAACACAUCAUUUCCGGGAGGGAGGCGUGAGGGGGUGUAGAGAAGCCAGGAGUGCUAUGCUGAGCUCCUUUCAGAAAAAAGAAAACAUCAAGAGGAAGACUGAGUCUCCCUGACACACAUCAGUUUCAGAAAGCAUGGGAGGCAUACCUGACCUACCGAAGGAAAGGCAAGAAGACUACAGUUGAUCACCCGCCAGCUUCUCAUAACCUCCCCCCAACACACACCACAGACCUUCAUCACUGGCCUCAUGUUCAAGGCCCUUCGGCACCAUGGCCGGAUGCCCGGUUCUGGGUGAAGUUGGGGGUGAGUCCCUUGCCGUGGCCCCUCACCUCUCCAUUUCCACCUCCUGUGACACCCAUAUCCUCCAGCCUUAUCAAGAAGCCAGAAAUGGAAUCUCCCUACUUGGAUGUCUCCGUCAGUAGGGAGUUCUGGCCAGAAAAUAAAAGAUGGAGGAAUGUGACCGCAAGCAAAGGCCUACCCAAACCUUCAUGCUAGAGGGAAAGAAGGUCCAGCAUCUCAAAAUGUGCAGACCCCUGAAUAAACAUAUCUAAUGUGAAAGAUCAUAGGAACAAGCAGAAAUUUGUGUCCUUUCUAGUUUUUUUUUAAUGUUAUGUUUU